ACUAAAUAUAAACCUUGAGAGUCUCCCCUCUUGUUGCACAUGCGCAUGACAUACGUCACGACCAAACGUUAGCAAUUGGUUAUGGCAGAUCCUAAGUGGCUUGGGGGAGAUCCUAUAGAUUUAAACUUCACCAGAGUACCCGCCUUCAAGGAAGUUAACACUUGUCAAUGGAGAGUGGCCAG